UACGCUUCUUUUUCCACCGGAGCUUGCUCCACCGGAAAAAGAAGAGUGGCGAACGGGUGAGUAACACGUGGGUAACCUGCCCAUCAGAAGGGGAUAACACUUGGAAACAGGUGCUAAUACCGUAUAACAAUCGAAACCGCAUGGUUUUGAUUUGAAAGGCGCUUUCGGGUGUCGCUGAUGGAUGGACCCGCGGUGCAUUAGCUAGUUGGUGAGGUAACGGCUCACCAAGGCCACGAUGCAUAGCCGACCUGAGAGGGUGAUCGGCCACAUUGGGACUGAGACACGGCCCAAACUCCUACGGGAGGCAGCAGUAGGGAAUCUUCGGCAAUGGACGAAAGUCUGACCGAGCAACGCCGCGUGAGUGAAGAAGGUUUUCGGAUCGUAAAACUCUGUUGUUAGAGAAGAACAAGGAUGAGAGUAACUGUUCAUCCCUUGACGGUAUCUAACCAGAAAGCCACGGCUAACUACGUGCCAGCAGCCGCGGUAAUACGUAGGUGGCAAGCGUUGUCCGGAUUUAUUGGGCGUAAAGCGAGCGCAGGCGGUUUCUUAAGUCUGAUGUGAAAGCCCCCGGCUCAACCGGGGAGGGUCAUUGGAAACUGGGAGACUUGAGUGCAGAAGAGGAGAGUGGAAUUCCAUGUGUAGCGGUGAAAUGCGUAGAUAUAUGGAGGAACACCAGUGGCGAAGGCGGCUCUCUGGUCUGUAACUGACGCUGAGGCUCGAAAGCGUGGGGAGCAAACAGGAUUAGAUACCCUGGUAGUCCACGCCGUAAACGAUGAGUGCUAAGUGUUGGAGGGUUUCCGCCCUUCAGUGCUGCAGCUAACGCAUUAAGCACUCCGCCUGGGGAGUACGACCGCAAGGUUGAAACUCAAAGGAAUUGAC
rnacentral:rRNA from 1 species